rnacentral:rRNA from 1 species
UAGCGCCGGCUAACUCUGUGCCAGCAGCCGCGGUAAUACAGAGGGUGCAAGCGUUAAUCGGAUUUACUGGGCGUAAAGCGCGCGUAGGCGGCUAAUUAAGUCAAAUGUGAAAUCCCCGAGCUUAACUUGGGAAUUGCAUUCGAUACUGGUUAGCUAGAGUGUGGGAGAGGAUGGUAGAAUUCCAGGUGUAGCGGUGAAAUGCGUAGAGAUCUGGAGGAAUACCGAUGGCGAAGGCAGCCAUCUGGCCUAACACUGACGCUGAGGUGCGAAAGCAUGGGGAGCAAACAGGAUUAGAUACCCUGGUAGUCCAUGCCGUAAACGAUGUCUACUAGCCGUUGGGGCCUUUGAGGCUUUAGUGGCGCAGCUAACGCGAUAAGUAGACCGCCUGGGGAGUACGGUCGCAAGACUAAAACUCAAAUGAAUUGACGGGGGCCCGCACAAGCGGUGGAGCAUGUGGUUUAAUUCGAUGCAACGCGAAGAACCUUACCUGGNCUUGACAUAGUAAG